UGUCAAUCAAACCUAAGUCCCGCGCCAAGGCGGAAGUCGUAAUCUCAAACGCGAUUUGCCAAAAUGCGUGUCAAUCAAUAAAAAGAGGCGGGGAACUCUUAUUUUCUUUCUGCUGGGCAAAAUCCACAACACGACUGAGGUGUCCCCUCUAGUGUACACUACAGAGGGAACAUAACUCCCCAUAUUGGUGUCUAUAUAGUGCACAUGUAGGGAAUGUGUAAGGAUUUAGGAUGCAUCCCAAAUUGUAACGUGGACCGUUAUAAGGAAGAAAUAAUCAUAAGGGAUAUAAACCGGAAAUUCGAUCAGACUUCUGCAGCCGUCCGUCAUCACCAUACCCUGUUUUCCUUCACAACACACUCUCAGCUUCACCAAGCACCAUGAUCACUUCCUGUUUCCUGUCCAAACACAACCACAGUCUGUCUCUCUGCCUACAGGUGGGUCUGUUUCUGACAUUGCAUUGCUCGUGCAAAAGAAAUUAAAUAAAAAAUAAAAACCAUAAUAAAAUGAUGAGAAUAAUAA